rnacentral:rRNA from 1 species
GAGUUUGAUCUUGGCUCAGAUCGAACGCUGGCGGCAUGCCUUACACAUGCAAGUCGAACGGCAGCACGGGAGCUUGCUCCUGGUGGCGAGUGGCGAACGGGUGAGGUAAUGCCAUCGGAACGGUAUCCUGGAGUAGGGGGAUAACGUAGCGAAAGUUACGCUAAUACCGCAUAUUCUGUAGAGGCCUAGGGAAAGCGGGGGACCUUCGGGCCUCGGCGCUCUUGGAGCGGCCGAUGUCGGAUUA